CCACGGCUUAAAUUCAGUUUAAAAAAGAGAAUUUAUUGAACAUCUAACACAUACAUAAAAGGCAGUAAAGACAAAUGAGAAGAGGGCAGGAUAUUGAAGUAUACAGACUUUAAUGCUGAGUUUUGUAUCUUAGUAAGUUACUCCACCUUACAGAGGCUCAAUUUCCCCUGAUUUAGGAAGGCGAUGCUAAUGGGUAUUGCCUAGGUGUAAGUAUAAAAAUGUUGUAUUUAAGAGAAUCCCACAAGCUUGGUAUAAGGCAGAAAAUAAAUAGAUGCGACAUGAAUAAGUAGUUUAUUACAUUUGUAUGCUACCUGCAGACUAGAUGAAGCAAGAAACACAGCCACUAUGUUUGAUGACCAUUAUAUUCUAAUUUGGAAUAUAAAUAGAAAAGAGAAAAAUAGAAAGCUAUGCAUAAACACACGCAUUAAAAUGAAUGUUAUGUGGACUCUUUCAGGAAAAUGUUCCUAAGGUAUUUUAUUUUUUUAUUGUGGUAAAAUACACAUAACAUAAAAUGUACUCUGUUAACCAUUUUAAGUGUACAGUUCAGUGGUACUAAAUAUAGUCAUAACAUUGUGCAGCCGUCCCUACCAUCCAUCUCCAUAACUCGUUUCAUCUUGUAGAACUGAAACUGUAUACCCAUUAAACAAUACUUCCCCAUUUCUUCCUCCCCCCAGCUUCUGGCAACCAUCAUUGUACUAUCUCUAUGAUUCUGUCCACUUUAAUACAAAUGGAAUUAUACUGUAUUUGUCCUUCACUGACUAACUUAUUUCACUUGGCAUAAUAUCCUCAAGUUUCAUCCAAGCUGCAACAUAUGUCAGAAUAUUUCCCUCAUGUUUAAGGCUGAAUAAUAUUCCAUUGUGUGUAUAUUUAAUAUUGUACUUAUCCAUUCAUCUGUUGUUGGACACUUCAAUUGCUUCUAAGUUUUAGCUAUUGCCAAUAACGCUGCUGCAAACAUGGAUGUGCAAAUAUUUUUUCAAGACUCUGCUUUCAAUUCUUUUGCUAUCCUGAGAUGUGGCGCUGCUGAAUCAUAUGGCAAUACCAUUUUGAUGUUUUGAGGAACUACCAUACUCUUUUCCACAGCAAACAUAGCGUUUGGCAUUCCCUCCAAUACUGCAAAAGGAAUCGCCACAUCCUUGCCUGUGGUUUUUAUUCACAAAUCCGGUGGCUCUCUCUACAUCCCAGCCACCAUGUGUUAUUUCCUGCUAUGUAUAUGACAUCAAAGGUGCAGGAAGUAAUGAACUAAAUUGGAAGGAUAAACAUGUAGAAAAAUAGAGGUAAAUACUGACUACAUAAAACCAUAAGAAUAAGAAUUUUGGAUGAUCAAUCUAUUAUAUACCUAUUUAUCUAACACCUAUCUGUUCUUCCAUCUGUAAUUAAAAUAUAUUACAGUUAGAGAGCAGAGGAAAAAGUAGGAAUACAUGAAUUUAAAUUUUAAUUCUUCUUAGAUUGUCUCACAGCAUCAUUAUAUGAAAGAAAAUUUAUAGGUCAUUAUCUGUUAACUAUAAAUGUAACAUUCUUAAAGAAUUCAAAUACAUUGAAUUACAGCAUGAAUAAUAUGUUACAAUCCAUUCAAGUUUAUUUUAUUCCAGGAACACAAAAAUACAAAUUUCAUUUGCAAUUCAAAAAAAACAGAAAUUGAUACAUAUGAUUGAUGUAUAUACACAUUUAAUGUAUUUUUAAAUAUACAUUUUUUAAAAAUAGAAAUUUUUCUAGGACAAAUACUUAAAAUAUCACUGAAAAUAGUGUUAUUAGCUAAUACCUUCCUAAUCACUCUGGUAUUACAUAAGAAACCAAAAUUAAAAUUUCAGGUAAACUUAGAAACUAAAAAUUUUAAAAAUAUUAUUCUGUUCUCCAUAUGUUCAUAUUUAGUAUUACUUCUUGUUUUCAUUCUUAUUCAGUGUUGCUCUACAAAAAUAUAACAUACAAUACUAACUUUUGAUUUCUGUUCUUAUUACUCCGAAUUGUAUACAUUUUCUCAUGCUCUUAAUUUAGUUAUGCUACUUUUCUGUACUCUUGGAAUUUUCACAUUUGUGUUCACUCUUUUGAGUUCCCAUAGUAUCAAAUGAGCUUUUUUCCCUCUUUCUGACUUGAAGAUUCAUCUUCUCAUAAUUAUUUUGUCCAUUCAGUUUUUUUCAUUCUCGGUUAAGUGCCUCUCCUCUGGCUUCUUUUCAUUUAUAAGGUUUCCUUUCAUCUUAAGCCAGUCUUUCAUUUAUAUUUUGAUUAUGUUUUGUGGAGGACAUGCUUCCCUGAAUUUUAUGGAAGAGGCCAAAAGGGUUUUUCAAGUUUUUACCUGAUACAUUGGAUUAAAUUAUCUAAUGUACACACUCUUAAUUUAAGUCUAGGGGCGACUGUCUACUCUUGAUUUUGUAUAGUAUUAUUUUUCUUAACAUCCAAGCCCAUCUUCAUCUAUUUGUAUAUGAUCAAUAAAAAUACAUCUGUCCAGAACCCUGCUUUGGUGGAGUUACUUCUUUCUAAGUAGUAGAGGUAGCAGUUGAGACAUGAGCUGGGUUCUGUGUCAGUGUAGAGGGCUGGGCGACAUUCCUCCUUCUGGUCUGUAUGACUGAAUGAAUGCAGUUCUUGCUGUCUCGCUCCUCUCCUUAACACAUUGAGCCAUUGCAGCAGAUGAGAAGGAAUAAUCUUGAUCUGCCAUUCAGGUGGAACACAUGUUCUCUCCAGCCACACCCAUAGGUUGUACUCACACUUGGCCAGAAGGUAUCCUGUCAAUGAUAUGGAGAUGUAUCUAUCUAUCUAGAUAGAUAUCUACUUUGGUUUAUGCUCUUCGGUUGCCCGUAAAUUAUCUCCUUAAAGUGAAUAUCAAAAGAGAGCUUGGUGAUGGCAGUGUUAUAAAAUCCUCAAAAUGCAGCACCCACACCCAGAGGAAUUUGUAGAUUCUGGGAUUCUAAUUCAGAUACCAAAUUAUAUAAAAGGGGAACUGGUCAUUGAGGGUUGCUAGGCUCUUUGUUGAGCAUAUUUGCUCUUUUCAUGACUUUGAAAUUAUUUUAAAAAUCUAACCUUUUUCUCAGUGUGCUGCAAGAUGAUUUGAUUUUAAUGCAUAAGCACUAAUUCUCCCCUAAGUUUUGUACAAUAUAUUUGCUCUGACAAGCCAUAGCCAGCAACUCACUUCACAGCAAUUUAUAGCAUUUCCAAGAUAAGUUGAAUUAUUUUUAACUAGACUCUCUUUGCCUUAAUAAAAAUAUGAAGAAGCAAUAUACUUGUUCUAAUUAGGUUCAAAAGUUGGCAGUCUCUCUCCUGGAAAGAAUAGUAAAACUUUUCAGCGGCCUAAUAUGCAUCUAUAAACACACAAACACACACACACACACACACACACACACACACACGCAAGCACUAUUCAUAAUAUUUAAAGCACAUUCUGUUCUAUGACUUCAUUUGUCUAGCACAAAAUAAAACGAUCUCAGCAUAUGUCAAGUACCAAUUUUUUCGUAUGGCCAAUUAUAGGUAUUUUAUUUUUUAAAGAUUAGAGUGUUCUUGAAGCUCUUUAUUUUUGUCAAUGAACUAAACAUUGGCAAAUAUGUAGGGUUUCCCACAUAAGAACAUUAUUAACAUCAAAAUAGAAAGCUGGUGGUAGCAAUAAUGAUUGAGAACACAGAGUCUCUACUCAACGUUCUAGUUCUGCCAUACCAUAACUUUGUGAUCUCAGGAAAUCUCUCUCCAUGUUAUCAUCUCUAUGUAUAGUUCUGUCAUUUUUCAAUAAGUGCUUUUGGCUUAAUUAUGAAGUACUAGUUACUAUAACCAUUAUUUUGAGUUUCAUGUAAAUCAAGAACACAUGGACUCCACUUGCAAAACAUUGAAAAUGUAGUUAGGGAUUGGGGGCAUAAAGCAACAUUUUAAAAUGUGUAAAGACAAUGAGUAAGCAACAAAGUGUCCAAUUUUUUAGGGGAAAGUUGCAUACGUUAGGAAAAGGCAGGAUUAAGUAACAGAGAAUUUGAAUGAUAACUGGCCAAUUGGUGUCAUUUACAAUUGCAAGUCAUACAAAUGAAGUUUCCUUUUUUAAAGAGGAAAGGAGUUAUUUAGAAUGGGUCAACCUAUUGGGGAAGCAAUGUAGUUAGAGACAAUGCCCAAAACCAUGUGAGCCAAUGCUCUGUAGAGCAUACCCCUGCAAUGCUGCCAUUGUGAGGCCAAGUCUCUCCUUGUCUUGGUACUGAGCCCUCCAUUCUGCCUCCAUCAUUGCCACUGUAGCUGCCACAAAAUGAUCCCUCAACCACCGCUGCCCAGGAACAAAGAAAGAUUUCUGUCUUUCCGCGCUCUCAGAUCAAUUUCCAACAUCAGGUGAGCCUUUGAUGGGCACUAUUCAGUUCCCAUAUCCUAGAUUCAAACUCGAUUCCACUAUUUUCAGAAAUCACACUCUGAGACAAGUCCUUUUUUAAUCUAACUAUGUUUCUGCCUAUACUAAAAGACAGAUAUGUCAAUUUUGCUAAUCAUGCAGUUCCAAACCUCUCCAUCCUGAUUAUUUUUCGGUUUGUUCUAGCAGUCAUUCAGAGACUUACUUACAUUCAAAUUUCUCUCUAGGUUUAACAUUCGUGUAUGUCUUCUUGUGGUUUUGUCUAUUUUUGCUGUAUAUAAUUUAAGACAUUUUAUUGACAUAUAUCAUACAUGCAGAAAAGUACAAUGAUUAAAUAUGGAUAGCUUAAUGAAACACAUGUAUUUGCUUAUAACCAUGUAUGAAAAUAGAACAUUACUAAAAAUAGUGAUACUUCUCCUGCCCCUUUCCAAACACUAACCCUCAUCCUCAAUAGUAACAGAUUUUUUUUAUCAUAAUUUGGUCUACUUUCAAAUUUUUAUUAAAUAAAUCAGAGUAUCUACUCUAAGUCUAAGUUUGUUUCAUUGUUGUUAUUUUACUUAUUUAUCUGCUAAUGGACAUGGUAGAUUAAAGAUGGCUAAAUACACAUUUUUUAAAUUAACAGAUUUUUUGAGCACUUUGUGGCUCAUGCCUCUAAUCCCAUCACUUUGGGAGGCUGAGGUGCGUGGAUCAUGAGGUCAGGAGAUCGAGACCAUCCUGGCCAACGUGGUAAAACCCCUUCUCUACUAAAAUACAAAAAAUUAGCUGAUAGAUAACAUCAAGAUAACAUCUGGGUUCUUAGCUGCACUGAGUCAAGCCUACUUACAUCUUUGUUUGUCUUCCGCUGCACUUUUCCUUCCACAUCACACUCCAGGAAUGCCAAGCUGUGCUGGUCUUCUACCCCAUUUCCACUAUUUUGCUCCCGCGGAUGCAACUUUUUGCUGCCGCCGCCGCGGGUUUUUGCCUCCGCUGCUUUUUGCCCCCGCCGCCGCGGCUUUCUGCCCCCGGCCCCGCGGAUUUUUGCGCCCGCCGCCACGGCUUUUUGGGGCUCUUUGCCCCCGCCGCCGCGGCUUUUUGCGGCUUUUUGCCCUUGCCACGGUGGCUUUUUGCCCCCGCCCCCGCGCCUUUUUCCUGCCAUGGCUUUUUGCCCCCGCCGCCUUUGCAACCUUAAUUUCAUUUGAAAUCUAAUUUCCCACUGCCAUGCAACCUAACAUAUUUGUAUGUUAGACUCCGGGAAUUAGAACAUGAACAUUUUGGGGAGGCCAUUAUUUUGUCUACAGCAGACGUAAUCUAUUUACCUGCAGAUUAAAAUGUUCUUUAUUUUUCUGCCUCCCUCUCUUAAUUUUUUUUAAAUAAUAUGAAUUGUAGUAAAGAGAAAGAAAAGAAAGAAAAAAGAAGGAAAGAAAGAAAGAAAAGGAGGAAAUGAGAGGGAGGGAGGAAGGAAGAAAGGCAGGAAGGGAGAAAAAGAAAGCAAGAACUCAAGAAAGAAAGAGAGAAAGAAAGUGAGAAAGGAAGGAGGAAGGGAGGAAGGAAAGGAGGAAGAGAGAAUGGUAAAAGGGAGGAAGGCAAAGAAACAAAGAAAAACAGAAGGAAAAAAGGAAGGGAGGGAGGAAGGAAGAAAAGUAGGGAGGAAGGGAGAAAAAAAGGAAAGAAAGUGCGAAAGAAAGAAUAAGAGAAAAGAAGGAAGAAAAGAAGGGAGGGAGAAAGGAAGGGAGGGAGGAGGGAAGGAAGAAUAAGGGGAAGGAAGGAGAAAAAAAGAAAGGAAAAGAAAGAAAAAGGAAAAGGAAGGAAGUAGGCAAGGGAAGAGAAGAGAAAGGAAGAUGGAAAGAAGGAAGGAAGACCGCAAAUAUUAGAAAUUCUGGGUUUGUUGGAGAAUAUGCCAUACUGUUUUUUUUUUCACUUGAAAGAGUAUCUGCCAUUGAAGAUUGGAUAUCUUGUUGUGAUAAAGGCAUGACAUUAUACAAAAAUUGAUAAACGACAGAAAAUCGGCCAACAAAAAUGAAAGUGUGGAAAAUAAAUGAAAGUGUCAACACCGAAAGUGAAAUUCAGAUUGGAUCUUGAUGGAUUGAUAGAAGAAAUAGUUAAUUGCGAGAAUGCUGACACAACUACCAUCCAAGAGAUUUCAUAUGUGCAGUCAGGGGAACUUACGGAAGACAUAUUUACAACUUAAAUGAAGAAGCUGAUUGCAGGGAAAAGACGAAUGUUUUCCCAGAAGAUGUGAUGCUGAGAAAAAAAAUUACAUUGAAGAAAUUCUCCAAGAUGUUUAAAGACAAUGAACGCACAAACAAUAAAAUGUUGGACAAAUAAUCGAAUUUAUAAAGAAGUAUGGCAAUUCACCAAAGCAUAAAAAAUAUUGAGAAUCACAUGAUGAGAAGUUGUGCAAAUACUGUACAAACUACUCUGAAUACAUUUCAAAGAAAUAUAUAAAACAUGUAUUUUAAUUAUCAAUGUUUUAAAUUAUAGUGUACUAUAUAAAUACUAGUUUUAGGGUUGUUUUUUGGUUUUUACUUUUCUAUGCAUAUAUAACCAACAGUAAGACAUUUUUAAUAUUUUGACAAAUGUGUUUAUUUAUUUAUUCUUUUAUUUAGAGACAAGAUCUCACUCUGUUGUCCAGGCUGGAGUGCAGUGGUAUCAAAAAGGCUCACUGUAGCCUCGACCACCAGGCUGAGGUGAUCCUCCCACCUCAGCUUCCUGGAUAGCUGGGACUAUAUGUACGUAUCACCACUCCUGGCUAAUUUUUUGUAGUUUUUGUAGAGACAGGGUUCCGUCAUGUUGCCCAAACUGGUCUCAAACUCCUGGGCUCAAGUGAUCUGCCCACCUUGGCCUCCCAAAGUGCUGGAAUUACCGGUGUGAGCCACUGCACCUGACUGACAAGUGUUUUUAAUGAUUGCAGGAACAAGUUUAUGUUUUUCCAUUAAUUAUUAAGAUAACUUUGCCCAGUUUCAACUUGCACAGUGGUUACUAAGGCCCCGCACUGAUGUGCAUAAAGAGUACCAUCUGUACAUUUUUUUAACUUAAAACACUCAACCUUCAAAUAAUAUUUAUAAUACCUGCUAUAUAGUUUUAAAAUAUUGCAAUUCUGAAGCCAGCAUUACCAUGAUACUAAAACCCAGCAACCUAUAAUCCUGAAAUGUAAGACCUCAAACUAUAAGAAUCCUAGAAGUAAUGCUAGGAAACACCAUUCAGAAAAUCAGCCUUGGGAAAGAAUUUAUGACUAAGUCCUCAAAAGCAAUUUCAACAAAACAAAAAUUGACACGUGGGACCUAAUUAAACUAAAGAGCUUCUGCACAGUAAAAGAAACUAUCAACAGCAUAAGCAAACACCCCACAGCAUGGGCGAAAAUAUUCACAAACAAUGUGUUCAAUAAAAGUCUCAUAUCUUGAAUCUAUAAGGAACUUAAACAAUUAAACAAGCAAAAAAACAAAUAACUUAAUUUUAAAAGUGAGCAAAACCAUGAACAGAUACUUCUCAAAAGAAGGCAUACAAGUGGCUAAUAAACAUGAAAAAAAUGCUCGUAAUCACUAAUCUCAGAGAAAUGUAAAUCAAAACCAAGAUGAGAUAUCAUCUCACACUAGCCAGAAUGGCUAUUAAUAAAAAUUCCAAAAACGUUUAAUAAUAUCUUUUAUUGAAAAGUUCCUGCCAAGGCUAUAGAAGGGGAAGGUUUAUACACUGUUGAUGGGAAGGUAAAUUAGUUCAGCCAAUGGGGAAAGUAGUUUGGAGAUUUCUCAAAGAGCUUAAAACAGAACGACCAUUUGACUUAAUAAUCCCAUUUCUGGUUAUAUAUCCAUAAGAAAAUAAACUAUUCUACCAAAAAGACACAUGCACUUGUAUGUUCACUGUAGCACUGUUCCCAAUAGCAAAGAUAUGGAAUCAACCUAAGUGCCCAUCAGCAGUGGAUUGGAUAAAGAGAAUAUGGUACAUAUACACUAUGGAAUACUACACAGCCAUAAUAAAGAAAAAAACCAUCUAUUUGCAGCAACAUGGAUGCAACUUGCGGCCAUUAUCUUAAGUGAAUUAAUGCAGAAACAGAAAAUCAAAUACCACAUGUUCUCACGUGUAAAUGGGAGUUAAACACGGGGUACUCAUGGACAUAAAAAUGGCAACAAUAGAAACUGGACACUGCUAGAGGGAGAGGAAGGCAGGGAGGGAGGCUGGGGUUGAAAAACUGUCUGUUAGGUACUAUGCUCAGUACCUGGGAGAUGGUCUCAACCGUACCACCAACCUCAGCAUCACGCAAUAUAUCCAUGUAACAAACCUGUACAUGUGUUCCAUAAAUUUAAAAUAAAUGUUCAAAUAAAAAAACAAAUAUUAUAA
rnacentral:lncRNA from 10 species